rnacentral:rRNA from 1 species
GGAAAAGAAACUAACAAGGAUUCCCCUAGUAGCGGCGAGCGAAGCGGGAAGAGCUCAAAUUUAUAAUCUGGCACCUUCGGUGUCCGAGUUGUAAUCUCUAGAAAUGUUUUCCGCGUUGGACCGCACACAAGUCUGUUGGAAUACAGCGGCAUAGUGGUGAGACCCCCGUAUAUGGUGCGGACGCCCAGCGCUUUGUGAUACAUUUUCGAAGAGUCGAGUUGUUUGGGAAUGCAGCUCAAAUUGGGUGGUAAAUUCCAUCUAAAGCUAAAUAUUGGCGAGAGACCGAUAGCGAACAAGUACCGUGAGGGAAAGAUGAAAAGCACUUUGGAAAGAGAGUUAACAGUACGUGAAAUUGUUGGAAGGGAAACGCUUGAAGUCAGACUUGCUUGCCGAGCAAUCGGUUUGCAGGCCAGCAUCAGUUUUCCGGGAUGGAUAAUGGUAGAGAGAAGGUAGCAGUUUCGGCUGUGUUAUAGCUCUCUGCUGGAUACAUCUUGGGGGACUGAGGAACGCAGUGUGCCUUUGGCGGGGGUUUCGACCUCUUCACACUUAGGAUGCUGGUGGAAUGGCUUUAAACG